GACGAACGCUGGCGGCGUGCUUAACACAUGCAAGUCGAGCGCGAAAGGGGGGCAACCCCGAGUAGAGCGGCGGACGGGUGAGUAACGCAUCGGAACGUGCCCAGUAGUGGGGGACAACCUCGAGAAAUCGAGGCUAAUACCGCAUACGACCCACGGGUGAAAGCGGGGGACCGCAAGGCCUCGCGCUAUUGGAGCGGCCGAUGUCCGAUUAGCUAGUUGGCGGGGUAAGAGCCCACCAAGGCGACGAUCGGUAGCUGGUCUGAGAGGACGACCAACCACACUGGGACUGAGACACGGCCCAGACUCCUACGGGAGGCAGCAGUGGGGAAUUUUGGACAAUGGGGGCAACCCUGAUCCAGCCAUGCCGCGUGCGGGAAG
rnacentral:rRNA from 1 species